rnacentral:rRNA from 1 species
UGGGGAAUAUUGGACAAUGGGCGAAAGCCUGAUCCAGCCAUGCCGCGUGUGUGAAGAAGGUCUUCGGAUUGUAAAGCACUUUAAGUUGGGAGGAAGGGCAGUAAGCGAAUACCUUGCUGUUUCGACGUUACCGACAGAAUAAGCACCGGCUAACUCUGUGCCAGCAGCCGCGGUAAUACAGAGGGUGCAAGCGUUAAUCGGAAUUACUGGGCGUAAAGCGCGCGUAGGUGGUUCGUUAAGUUGAAUGUGAAAGCCCCGGGCUCAACCUGGGAACUGCAUCCAAAACUGGCGAGCUAGAGUAGGGCAGAGGGUGGUGGAAUUUCCUGUGUAGCGGUGAAAUGCGUAGAUAUAGGAAGGAACACCAGUGGCGAAGGCGACCACCUGGGCUCAUACUGACACUGAGGUGCGAAAGCGUGGGGAGCAAACAG